CACAGUAUAUUUGCUUCCCUUCUUGAUUCCAGGAGGGAUGAAUUGCUGCUGGAUUGACAGAAAUGUGCUGUAGGAUCUCCCAGGUGGGCUCCCCUUGCCAGUGUGUGCUACAAAUCCCCACAUCACAUGGAAAAUUAUCUCAGCUGAAGUGCCAACCCAGGGAAAGAACUUUUAACUCAGACCUGGUCAAGAGUUAUUUGAAAUGACUGCAGCAACUGUUG